CCUACGGGAGGCAGCAGUGAGGAAUAUUGGUCAAUGGGCGGGAGCCUGAACCAGCCAAGUCGCGUGAGGGAAGACGGUCCUAUGGAUUGUAAACCUCUUUAGGCGGGGAGCAAUGCCGGGCACGUGUGCCCGGAGGGAGAGUCCCCGCAGAAUAAGCAUCGGCUAACUCCGUGCCAGCCGCCGCGGUAAUACGGAGGAUGCGCGCGUUAUCCGGAUUUAUUGGGUUUCAGGGGUGCGUAGGCGGAUUUUUAAGUCAGCGGUAAAAUGUCCGGGCUCAACCCGGGCCGGCCGUUGAAACUGGGGAUCUUGAGUGGGCGAGAAGUAUGCGGAAUGCGUGGUGUAGCGGUGAAAUGCAUAGAUAUCACGCAGAACUCCGAUUGCGAAGGCAGCAUACCGGCGCCCGACUGACGCUGAGGCACGAAAGCGUGGGGAUCGAACAGGAUUAGAUACCCGAGUAGUC
rnacentral:rRNA from 1 species